rnacentral:misc_RNA from 1 species
GUGAAUCAUCAAAUUUUUGAACGCAAAUUGCACUCUCUUCGGAGAGUAUGCCUGUUUGAGGGUCAGCCUAAAAAAAAUCGACAUCGUUGCUGUUUCGCGGUGGCGUUCGUCGGAAAUUGGGUUAUCUUAAAUCUUUGGUUUAAGCGACUUAAAAUUUUCUUUACAUUUCCAUGAACGUUCCCAGGAUUUAUUUCUUUACACUUUUAAGGUAUCGAUUUUUUUAGGCUUGUUGUUAAUUUCGA